GUGGGUUCGUAUGAACCACAUGAUAUAUGAUUACUGCACCGACAAGUCUCGAUACCCAGUUGCCCCACCGGAGUGCAUGGCCGGAAUCUAAAAAAUUGCAGCAAACAAGCACAACCCAUGAAGCAAUUUGGUAUAUAAAAUUAAUAUAUCAUAUACUUGAAUGUCUCAUGUAUAUCUUACGUACAUGUCCUAGUAUACAUUACUAGCCAUGCAAAUUAUUGGAGGUGAAAAAAUCUUUUGUGUUAUAUGUUAGUGGGCCAACAACACGAGGGUAAGUUUGAUUUUCAAAGCGGACAAAAGAACUUGUAAGCAUGCGUGUAUGCAUCCGGUGCACAAUAUUCUGUGCCAAAUAAAAGGCUAGUGCAUGAUUGCUGAAAUUGGUAUGUAUCAAAUUUCAAAAGUGAAGCUGAAAAAAAUCUUAUUGGUACUUUCAAUUGAACAAAUUGAACCAGAGAAAAUGGCUGGCCUUUUAAAUUUAAAUGGUCCACAUAUACAAUGUUAUGCUAUAAGUCAAUGGAUAAUUGCAAAAAGCUAGAGUAUAUAUAUUAUUAUUAUCUUGAACUGUAACCCACCCCUCCUUCCUCUGUUCAAUGCCCUCCAAGAAUGUGAUUCAUAUGGUCCCUGAAUCACAAGAUUAUGUAAGUGCUGGUCUUAUGCAAUGCAUGCAUACAUGGUCCCCGAGUCAAGGGUGGUCACAGGCUGCUCAUUGCCGAGUCAUUAUUUGCGUGUAUAUGAGGCCUAAUUUUGAUCCCCCCACCAGUAGUUAGUUUGUGUGUGGCCAGAAAGAAGGAUUCAUGCAUAUAAUGCACGUUAAUUUAUUAUAUUUAUGUUAAACCAAAAGCGUCAUCCUUGUACAAAGAAUGAAGAAUUAAAUCUUCCCAUAUAGGCUUCGGAACCUCCUAGUUAUAAACUCCUGUAGCUCACCAAUAAGCUUUAGCACCAGUUUAAUGUAUUAGAAUCAUUUCUAAUAUUAUAAUAAGA
rnacentral:misc_RNA from 1 species